rnacentral:ncRNA from 1 species
GCUUCUUAGAGGGACUAUCGCCGUUUAGGCGACGGAAGUUUGAGGCAAUAACAGGUCUGUGAUGCCCUUAGAUGUUCUGGGCCGCACGCCGCUACACUGAUGUAUUCAACGAGUAUAUAGCCUUGGCCGACAGGCCCGGGUAAUCUUGGGAAAUUUCAUCGUGAUGGGGAUAGAUCAUUGCAAUUGUUGGUCUUCAACGAGGAAUGCCUAGUAAGCGCGAGUCA